rnacentral:lncRNA from 1 species
CAGGCUUGCUGGGAGAGGGGCACAUUGGAGGAAGGAAACCUCAGACCUUUCAUCCUCAGGCUGGAGCAGGCUGAGCAGAAGGCUGGCCCGGGGCUCUGGGUUCCUCCCAGUCCUCUCCCCGUGGAGAGGGGCAGGCUGGGCUGGCGUGGGGGCAGACAGCUGGGCCCAGAGAUCCUGUGGUUGGGCAGGCCAGCCUGUUAGGCAGGAGGUUGAAGCGGAGCCUUGAGGGGGAGCAGGCCCCCUCCAGUGAGGGUGAUGCCCGGAGUCAGGAGAGGGUGUGCAGAAACAGACAGUGACCAGGGAGACACCCAAAUCUCUUUUACUGGGGAGGAUGGGGCCCUGGGGGAUGGGUCCAGGGGCCCUCCCCCUGCACGGCUCUAUGCUGUAUGCAUAUCUCAUCAUCAUAUCUUAAAGGGGGUCCUCCGUCAGGUAAGCCAUUGUUGCUGAGAGUUAUUUAAUAAAGGAGCGUGGUGGGGGGUCCACUUUACAGUCAGGGAGAGCCUGUCUGCUGCUUGGUGUCCCUGCCUUCCUACCCACCAUAAGUCCGAGCCUGCUGACGCACGGCUGCAUUUAAUGUCCAAUUGUCCAAGCUACGUGCAGAAGUGAUGUGAAAUAGCAAAGAUCAGACACACAUUCAAUGAACAAAAUGGUGAUUUCCGAUUGUUUUUUUCUUGUGAUGCACAUGGUGGCUUUAAAGUUGAGUGAUUUAUCUAAGGCCAAAGAACAAAGUUUUUUGAAAAUAUCUUAAUUUAUUUCUGAUAAUUAAAAAAUACAGGCGGGGGAAGGGGCGGGUUAGGGGCCGGGCUCUGCGCUCACACCGGCCAGCCGCCCCCAGGAUGUGAUCCUCAUGAUCCGAUGCCGCCACGACCACCAUCUUCGUGGACACCAGGGAGUCAGCACCGUGUUCUUGCUAAAGUGCAUCAUCGAGGGCAAUGAAAGAAAGGACAUCCAAGUGUACACACCACUGCAUGUGCGUGCUGAUUUUACAGUGCCACUUUCCAUCAUUUGACGUGUUCCUCACCCUCAUGACACAGGACUCUGGAUUUCUUUAUAAUAAUCAGGCUGGGGUCUCUAUCAAGGGGCUCCACCCACUUCCACCCGCCAGUGAAUGACAACAGGUUGUCUGAACCAUCACUACCAACUGUCACAGACUGCAGUGAUUGCAAGUGAGAUUUGUAAACUGAGAACACAGAGGCAGCACGAAUACCCUCAGGCCUGACCUCACUCAGCUGAUUUCACCACAAACAAAUCAAGAGAUGCAACUCCAAGUAAGUAAAAAGGGAGAGUUACUUAUCAGCUUAUCUAAUUGGAGUGGAAAAGGGUGGAUCCAGGGACUCAAAGUACAUCAGCUGGACGAUUUCUUGAUUUGCCAUCUCAGCUUCUCUCUUGGUGUUGAUCUCAUUCUGUCUUUCUCCAAGAAACUCCCUCCAGCGGGCAGGACACAGAAAAGGGAAACUGACAGCAGGCAGUUCCAGACUUCCAUCCUUCCAGCUCAGUCAGGCUCCAAGAGGAGAGAAAGGGAGAUUCACUAACACCAUCAGCACCUUUAAUCUCAUGGAAGGAUUCUAAUGAAACCAACUAGAGUCUCCUCCUGUCCACCAUACGGACCAAUCAUUAAGGCCAGAGACUAGGCCAAGCUUGGGCCACACGCCCAUGUCUGCAGUGGGGCAUGAGGCAAAGUCCAGGGACUGGUGGCCUCAUCAGAACCAAUGACACAGGCAUGGAGGAGCAAUUCUCUAAAGGAAGAAAGCGUGCUAUCAUCUGAGGCAGAAGGAAGAAAGCCUGAGGAGAGAAAGUAUGGAAAAUCAGGCUCAGCGAAGAAGGAAGAGCAAACAGCCACUGCCAGCUUUCCGCUUGGAAACAAGCCACGGAAAGGCAUCCAGGAAGAAACUCAUUGGAAGAUGACUCUAUCAGGCCAGAUCAGGAGCUCACAUCCCGUCUGAAGGAAGCCCUGUGACACAGCUCAGGUCAAACGAAUCCCAAGACCCGCGCCAGUGUGUAUACAGUACCUCAUAGUUCGCAAAUCAUUUUGUCUCAUUUGAUCCACGUAACAACCCUGUGACUAUUGCCAUUUGAAAAAUGGGGACUAUGGCAUUUUACAGAUGGAGAAGCAAACCCAGACUUCAAAUUCAAGCAAACAAGCCAGAAUGGACAUUCAGAUUUUUUUUAAAAAAAUAACUGUCCUGUAUUCUUCUGUCUCCACACUCCGUACAUCAUGGCUUUCUGCAGCGUUAUCCCCCUGUCCCCACCUGCGUUGACCUCUUCAAGCCACCAUCGGGCUUGGUCGAGAUGCCCUGCAGCGGCUAUUUUAUUCAUCUGAAGGCACAUAGAGGCUUGUGGCUUAUCCACAGGCAAGACCGAGGAGGGGUGGCCUUUUGGUAACUUAAUAAUCAUGCCCCUACUAAUAACAAAGGCAACUUCUCCAAACAAAAAAUUUCAAAGGGCAGCCAGCGACACCUUCUCUGUGCGCCAGGGCGUUCCUCAGGGCUGCGCUGGGAGCCAGCACCUGGCCAGCCCACUGCUGACACCUCGUGGCCGAGAAACAGAGUUCCAGACCAGUUCCUAUCAGAAUCACGUGGAGAAAGGAAGCUGAAUGCUUAGAACCAGCCAGCUAUCCCUCUGUCCUUCCCGGGUUCCCCUGGCAACCCUUUCCUCUAAAUGGUGCCAGGGCUGCUUAGGAGCUGCUGUGACCCUCAGUGGGUGGCUGCAGGGCUUCCUCAGGGCCUCGGCGGCCCAGCUCCUGCCAAGCCACGGUGGUAGUCACAGGGCCCUCUAGGUGGCACCUCUGCCCAAGGCAGUAACCAGCAUGCAUGGCACUCGCCAAACAACUGACAGAUGAAACACAGAUUUGCUCAUAAAAAUAGGCAUGAACCAGACACCUGAACACUGGGUCUAGUUUGGGGCCCUGUGUCUGCCGCCGCGAACUGUGAGCAUCAGGAGGCGGGCGGAGGACACUCUGCUGGAAAUAGAGCUUGUGGCAAACGGCUCUUGUGACAGCCAUUGAGGCUAAUUACAAUUUAGAGGCAAAAAUCAUCGAGGGCCUUGUUCUGACAUCAGUGAGAAAACACUUCAAAUUCUAAGGAGACACUCCUAGUAAUAGGCCAGGGGUAACUUCUGAUAUCUAGAUUCAUACCCUUUUAGUCGAGGCAUCUAAAUAUGGAGAGUCUUGUCAUUGCUUUACGAGGCGGUGUGCAAUGAUUUUAGCUCAAGAUAUUUUUAAAUAUUCCUAACAGCAAUCAGCAGUAUGGCUGUUACUGGCUUAGUUCACAUAACGAGAAUUUGAGGCGGUUCUAUCUCAAACCACCGUGAUCUUCCAUUACUCUAAGUACUCUAAGGGUCCUGACGCAGGACGUUUCAUCUCUAGCCCUCUGGCUCCUCACCAAUAAAAUGAAAAGUUUGAACAAUCUGUAUUUCUUAAAGUGUAGUUUGUGAACAUAUGUGCAUCAGAGUCACACAAUCUUAUUAAAGACCCAGAUUGCAAAGCCAUGGGUCUAGAGUCUGGGAUCUGCGUUUUAAUCCAUUUUUCAGGUAAUUCUUAUGCACUUAUGUUUGAGAAUCACUAAACAAGGUGACAUGGGGUCUAAGAUUUAUUGAGACCUAUUGUGCACCCAGCACCGACAAAAAAAGCUUCUUUCGCUCAAAGAGCCCACAGUCCCACUGAGAACAUAGACAAGAGAAUAAACGGUGUAGCAAAGGACAGCAAACGCUAUGGGAGAAAUGAGGAGGGUAGUGGGUGACUGCCUGGGGGCUUCAUCCCUGAAGGCUUCCCAGGGGAGGGGACGCUGGAGUUGUCUGGAAAGAUGGGUUCACCAGGCGCACAAAGGGUGCUGCUUCCGGAGGUCAGGAGGGGCAGCGCAGACCUCGUGAGCAGCAUGUGACUUUCCGACACCGUCCUAGGGCUGGGACUGUCAGGGAUCUGAAGCCCCACCCCUCCAGGGAGGCCAGCAUCUGUAAGAGGAGAGGAACACGCUCAGGAUUAGCCUGCCGUUUUCAUUUGAUCCAAAAAUGGAUCCGGAGCUCUGGUAAUCUCAUCCUCUCCUUCCAAAGCAGCGAGAGGUCAGGUCCUCACCGAGGGAAUGGCCAGGGCGG